rnacentral:rRNA from 1 species
AUUGAACGCUGGCGGCCGGCCUAACACAUGCAAGUAGAACGCAGUUGCGAACGGGUGAGUAACGCGUAGGUAACUGCCUCAUAGCGGGGGCUAACUAUUGGAAACGAUAGCUAAUACCGCAUACUGUGAGAUGUACCUGCGUUGUCUUAGCUAGUUGGGGAGGUAAAGGCUCACCAAGGCGACGAUCCAGAGCCGACCUGAGAGGGUGAAUGGCCAAAGUGGGACUGAGACAAGGCCCAGAAUCCGACGGGAGGCAGCAGGAGGGAAUCUUCGGCAAUGGACGGAAGUCUGACUGAGCAAAGCCGCGGGAGGGAAGAGGGUUGUCGGGGUGUAAAGCUAUGUUGUUAGAGAAGCGGUAACUAAACAGAAAGGGACGGCUAACUACGUGCCAGCAGCCGCGGUAAUAC